rnacentral:rRNA from 1 species
GACGGAGGGUGCUAGCGUUGUUCGGAAUCACUGGGCGUAAAGGGCGCGUAGGCGGCCUUGCAAGUCGGUUGGUGAAAGCCCGGGGCUCAACCCCGGAGGUGCGGCCGAGACUGCAGGGCUGGAGGCCGGAAGAGGAGGGUGGAAUACCCAGUGUAGAGGUGAAAUUCGUAGAUAUUGGGUGGAACACCGGUGGCGAAAGCGGCUCUCGUGGUCCGGACCUGACGCUGAGGCGCGAAAGCGUGGGGAGCAAACAGG